GCGACCCCAGGUCAGGCGGGAUUACCCGCUGAGUUUA
rnacentral:rRNA from 12 species